rnacentral:tRNA from 1 species
UGUGGUAGAGCUUGUUUAAGCGAAUCAUUUACAUUGAUUAGAACUUUAAUUUGUGCCGUAA